ACCACCUGCGAACAUCAAAUCACAGAAUCGUCAGAUUUGUUUAGUCGAGUGCCUUCCGACACCUAGAUUUAUAUAAUACAAGUGUAGUUUAAUUAUAUAGUAUUGGGACAUUUUAAUAAAUAUAUACUCGUAGUAUGAGACAGCGCAAUCUUGGGAACAACAACGCCCUGAAACGCCACCGUCAGCAGCAGCAAAUAGAUCGGAAUUGUUGUUUAAGUAAACGUUGUAACUAUGAUAGUAUCUGGCAGCAUUUUAAUCGCAAUGCCACCCUCGAGGAAAUUCGUUACGCGGCGGCACGCAUCUGCCGGGACCAUUUAAAUGGACGCUGGAAAACGGUGGCUCCUGAAGAUUUGAUUGUGAAACGGGUCAGUGGGGGAUUGUCAAACUUUUUAUAUUACGUAAGUUUGCCCGCAUUCAUCGAAUAUGAAGAGGAGGAGGUGGAGCAGUUGCUGCUACAGAAACAGCAACAAAUCGAGGGAAGUGUCAACGGCAAAGACGUCAUAUCCACUAGCGAGUCGGGAAACAGCCCGGUUUAUGCACGCGACGAUGAUGAGGUUGAGACCAAGUCAGUGGGCGUGAUGGCUGGGAGCACCAAAUUGGCUCACACCGAUGAUGAUGACGACGCGGCCACGAGCGACAAGCAGGCACCGAAACGUCAGAGAUUCGAUAGCGAUAGCGUCGCCUCGACCUAUUUGAAACGAAUGCAGCCCCCCAAACAGGAACCCCGUGAGGUCCUGCUGCGCAUCUAUGGACAGACCCACGGCGAUCAAAUGAUGGAGAACAUGAUCACCGAAUCGGUGGUGUUUGCCCUGCUCAGUGAGCGCAACUUUGGGCCUAAAUUAUACGGAAUCUUUCCGGGUGGACGCAUUGAACAGUUUCUACCAGCGCGUUCAUUGGCUACCGCGGAGUUGGGUGAGCAACGGAUAUCCAUGAAGGUGGCCGAGAAACUGGGCGAUAUCCACAGCUUGAGCAUACCCAUGUCGAAGGAGCCUGACUGGAUUUGGACCUGCAUGAACCGCUGGGUCACCAGCUUCGAGAGCACCAUGAAGGGCAAGUGCCUAUCAAAAGCCAAGAACUCACCGGUCUUGAAGAAACAAAUGGAAUUGCUUCGCACCAUAAACUAUGAGGAGGAGAUCGCCUGGCUGAAAUCGGUUAUUGAAGCCGGCGAUUAUCCGGUGGUCUUCUGCCACAAUGACCUGCAGGAGGGCAAUAUAUUGAUGCGCCAGACACAGCAGGAGCGCACGCCCAGAGUGUCAAUAAGUAGCUUGAGAUCCAACUUUGAUGAGACCCUGGGAGAUAGUCUGGAUGGAAAUAGCAACAGCAACAUCUCCGAGCCGGAGAGAAAAUGGCCCCAAUUUGCUGCGGUCGUGGCUUGAGUAUAAAAUUGUUGUGCGCUGGUCAAAUACAAUUAAAUGUUGGCCAAAUGCAAAACAAAAUACAGCAGUAGCAAGUUGCACAGCGUUUCGUCGCCCCCAUGCCCGGAGUUGGACACUACGGAUGAUUCGGCACUGGACUCUAGCUUCACC
rnacentral:misc_RNA from 1 species